UACGGAGGGUGCAAGCGUUGUUCGGAAUCAUUGGGCGUAAAGCGCGUGUAGGCGGCUUGGCAAGUCGGUUGUGAAAGCCCGGGGCCCAACCCCGGAAUUGCAUCUGAAACUGCCUCGCUAGAGUCCCGGAGAGGAAGGCAGAAUUCCCGGUGUAGGGGUGAAAUCCGUAGAUAUCGGGAGGAAUACCAGCGGCGAAGGCGGCCUUCUGGACGGUGACUGACGCUGAGACACGAAGGCCAGGGGAGCAAACGGG
rnacentral:rRNA from 1 species